rnacentral:rRNA from 1 species
CCUACGGGUGGCAGCAGUGAGGAAUAUUGGUCAAUGGACGAGAGUCUGAACCAGCCCAGUCGCGUGAAUGAUGAAUGCCCUAUGGGUUGUAAGCUUCUUUUAUAUGGGAAUAAAAUGUUCCACGUGUGUGAUUUUGUCUGUCUAAUAUGAAUAAGGCUCGGCUAACUCAGUGCCAGAAGCCGCGGUAAUCCGGAGGGUCCGAGAGUUAUCCGGAUUUAUUGGGUUUAAGGGGAGUGUAGGUGGGUUGUUAAGUCAGUAGUGAAAGGUUGCGGCUCAACCGUAAAAUUGCAGUUGAAACUGGCAGUCUAGAGUACAGUAGAGGUGAGCGGAAUUCGUGGUGUAGCGGUGAAAUGCGUAGAUAUUACGAAGAACACCGAUGGCGAAGGCAGCUCACUGGACUGCAACUGACACUGAGGCUCGAAAGUGUGGGUAGCAAACAGGAUUAGAUACCCUAGUAGUC